rnacentral:rRNA from 1 species
GACGAACCGUGCGAACGUUAUUCGGAAUGACUGGGCUUAAAGCGCGCGUAGGCGGAUGGCCGCGUCGGUUGCUGAAAGCCCCCGGCUCAACCGGGGAAGGGGCACCGAAACGGGCCGUCUGGAGUGGAGGAGGGGGAUCUGGAACUCCCGGUGGAGCGGUGAAAUGCGUUGAGAUCGGGAGGAACGCCGGCGGCGAAAGCGGGAUCCUGGACUUCAACUGACGCUGAGGCGCGAAAGCCAGGGGAGCGAACGGG